CCUACGGGGGGCUGCAGUGGGGAAUAUUGCGCAAUGGGCGAAAGCCUGACGCAGCGACGCCGCGUGGGUGAUGAAGGCCUUCGGGUUGUAAAGCCCUGUCGGGUGGAACGAACGAUCUGGCGGCGAAUCACCGCCGGGUGUGACGGUACCACCGAAGGAAGCCCCGGCUAACUACGUGCCAGCAGCCGCGGUAAGACGUAGGGGGUGAGCGUUCUUCGGAUUUACGGGGCGUAAAGCGCGCGUAGGCGGCGAACUCCCUCGGCUUAACCGAGGACCCGCAUCCGAUACUGUCUGGCUCGAGUCGAGGAGAGGAAGGCGGAAUUCCCAGUGUAGCGGUGAAAUGCGUAGAUAUUGGGAGGAACACCGGUGGCGAAGGCGGCUUUCCGGACUAGUACUGACGCUGAGGCGCGAAAGCUAGGGGAGCGAACGGGAUUAGAUACCCCGGUAGUC
rnacentral:rRNA from 1 species